UAAUUUCACAACCUUAGAAAAAGUGGCGCUUACUUUGAUAGCAGAGACGGGCGAGGGCCGCUAUCAGGAAUUAGUUGAGUUAAGUGCUGAUUCAUCGUUUUCAUCGAUGGGUCUUAAGGUUAAUGGUUCAAUGAGGUAAUAUGCAACAGUUGUUUUCAGGCUUUUGAAAGCACCAUUUGCAGGCGUGGAAAAUUGGCAGAUGUGAAUUCCCGAGUUGUAGUGGCCGUCUUUGGUUUAUGAAUUUGAGUUUGCUUAGAACAAUAUCUUAUGGACUCCAAGUCAAUUUAACGUUGAAAGGUCAAAGAUAAAUGGCCACUGAUUCACUCUUCAUUUUAUUCCUGCCAGGAAAGGGAAGCAAAGCUGAAGCAGCAUGUGACGAGAUUAUCGCCGGAGGCCAAAGGCUUUCUCUGGGCGGGCCCCAUCCCACGUCCGAAAGGGGAAGCAAAACAGAAGCAGCAUAUCACAAGAUUAUCGACGGAGAGUCUCAAUGUACGAAAGGAGUUCCACGUGGUCAACCUUGGAAUUCUUGUUGCUCAAUGAGAUGCUGUAUAAUAUGAAUCCAUAGUUAUCAUUAAUCAUUGUUUGUAGAAAGCAAUGAGAAGCUAACUGGUUAAAAUAUUUUUCACCUGAAUGUUAUCCUAAGCUGCAACGUUGUUUCCUAUCAAUUCAAAAUUUCAAAAUCCCUCCUCCCGGUCAAACUUUGGGCAUUUGAACUUUUGAAGAUUGGAUUGUUCAAAUUAACGCCCCCUCGAAACAAAAUGUUGUUCAAAUCCUCCACCCUACUGUCGGAUUUGUCUGUGAAGUGCCCCUUCUAAAGAACAAUCUUAGUCGGCUCGUGUCGUCUUUAAUAAGACUUGUGUAGAAAAAUGUCAGCCAAUAUGUUGUGACCCUUUAUAUGAUGAUGCCUUUUUUUACCAGACUUGAGUUAAUUUAAAAACACAGCUUUGAUAUUGAAAGUAUUAAAAAUAAUUUGAAAGUAAAUUAAUGAAGUCGGGCUGUGUCAAUGAGAAACUGUAACCAGCUCUUACUUGUUUAACGAAGGUACUGUACGCGUAUCAACAACAGACGUACAGCUUUCAGGACUGCAUGUAUUUUAAAUUUCUCAGUGUCGGUUGAUCACCUAUAGCAGAAAGGUAUAGCCUUAGCAAUGAAACUGGGGUCUAAAACGCACCAUAUUGUAUUUACUCUAUAGUAUGACAAAGACAAAUUAAGCCGCCAAAAUUCCGUUGACAGUUCAGUUAAUAAAAUGACAAAAAACCA